rnacentral:lncRNA from 1 species
UGCACAUAAAAUUAAAUUAAUUUUCAACCAAACACAAGAAAGCGACACCACAUCUACCAACAGAGAUCCAUACAGAAAAUCAAGUAUAAAAAAAAAGGUAAUGAUAUUAGUAAUAACUAACCUACAGAUCACUAGAACCGGUAUCGAAGCGACUCUCCCCAACGUUAAAAUCGUCAUCAAAUUCUUCCCCUUCCUUUUUCUGUUCCCAUUCCCGUUGCAAACGCAUUUCUGACUGAAUUCCGAUCCUAUUCCCGCUAUAUGCUGCAGUGCUGGUGAUUGGAUGGCUUCGAUUUACAAUUUUGGGGGGAAAUAUCAAACACAGUUGAGGCAAGUGUAAUGAUCACUGAUCAGUGUUUCUCAAAACGCUUCUUUCUAAUAUUAAUCGUAAUUUACAACGAAAACCUUAGGAAAACUUUAAUUUACUAAUUAAUCCUUUUUUAAUCGUAAUUAUUCAAAAAUUUAAGGUAAAGACAAAUAAACUAACCAUUCAUUAUCCAAGAUUCAAGAAAAGAAAAAGGUUUCAACUUUCAAACCAACUGACUAUUUUGCAAUACAAGAUCUAACAAAUGAGCAAUUACAAUUCACAAUUAACAAGCAUUCAUACCAUGUCAUUUUGGUAAAAGCUGUUAAAUAAAUAGACAUCACUCUUAUAAUCAGAUCAUUUAAUUAAUGAAAGAUAUCAUAUUAAUAAACACUAAAUUCUGUCAUUUAAUGUAAUUUAAAAAAAUUUUGAGAAGAUUAGAACAGUUGCUACACAUGAAAUCAUGAAUACAUGAUGAUCAUCUGUUUUUUUUGUCCAGUCUGAUAUUAUAAGGAUUAGAAAAGUAAAUUUCGCACCUUGAUACAAGAAUUAUAAGAGAUAUAUUAAACAAACAAUUUUUUUUAUCUGAUGCAUCAGUUUUCGAUCUUAAGUACUUUCUUACCUGAUUGAAGAUAGUAGUUACUUCAUUCAGGAUCUAGGUGGAGUUCGAGACGAAUUUGGAGAUUCAGAUGUGCUGAUGUUCCUCUGAGAAGCAAGGUAUGUAAGAGCUGUCAC